UACAGAGGUGGCAAGCGUUGUUCGGAAUUACUGGGCGUAAAGGGCGCGUAGGCGGCCUUCUAAGUCAGACGUGAAAUCCCUCGGCUUAACCGGGGAACUGCGUCUGACACUGGAUGGCUUGAGAUUGGGAGAGGGAUGCGGAAUUCCAGGUGUAGCGGUGAAAUGCGUAGAUAUCUGGAAGAACACCGGUGGCGAAGGCGGCAUCCUGGACCAACACUGACGCUGAGUGAGCGAAAGCCAGGGGAGCAAACGGG
rnacentral:rRNA from 1 species